AUGUCUCAGUACAAGCCAAAUUAAGGUGAAACCGCGAAAGGCUCAUUAAAUCAGUUAUGGUUCCUUAGAUCGUACCCACACUUACUUGGAUAACUGUGGUAAUUCUAGAGCUAAUACAUGCAAACAGAGUUCCAACCGGAGACGGAAGGAGCGCUUUUAUUAGAUCAAAACCAAUCGGUGGCGGGCUCGCCCGUCAUCGUAUAACUUGGUGACUCUGAAUAACUUUAAGCUGAUCGCACGGUCUAGCACCGGCGACGCAUCUUUCAAAUGUCUGCCUUAUCAACUGUCGAUGGUAGGUUCUGCGCCUACCAUGGUCGUAACGGGUAACGGGGAAUCAGGGUUCGAUUCCGGAGAGGGAGCCUGAGAAACGGCUACCACAUCCAAGGAAGGCAGCAGGCGCGCAAAUUACCCACUCCCGGCACGGGGAGGUAGUGACGAAAAAUAACGAUACGGGACUCAUCCGAGGCCCCGUAAUCGGAAUGAGUACACUCUAAACCCUUUAACGAGGAUCAAUUGGAGGGCAAGUCUGGUGCCAGCAGCCGCGGUAAUUCCAGCUCCAAUAGCGUAUAUUAAAGUUGUUGCGGUUAAAAAGCUCGUAGUCGAAUUUGUGUCCCGCGCCGCCGGUUCAUCGUCCGCGGUGUUAACUGGCGUGCCGCGGGACGUCCUGCCGGUGGGCUUAGCUCUUCGGGGCGGUCCAACUCAAUCCCGCCGCGGUGCUCUUCACUGAGUGUCGAGGUGGGCCGGCACGUUUACUUUGAACAAAUUAGAGUGCUUAAAGCAGGCUAAAACUUCGCCUGAAUACUGUGUGCAUGGAAUAAUGGAAUAGGACCUCGGUUCUAUUUUGUUGGUUUUCGGAACCCCGAGGUAAUGAUUAAUAGGAACGGAUGGGGGCAUUCGUAUUGCGA
rnacentral:rRNA from 1 species